AACUGUGACAGUUUGUCCUUUCCUGGGUAUGUUAUUUUCUUCAUACCCAGUGAAAGAGAUUAAGUUUUCUUGAAGGACAUUUGACCCUUUCUAUGGUUGGAGGACUUUUUAAAUUUACAUCUUCUAAGACUGAAAACAAGACAUGCUAGAUGUCAUUUUAAACUCUUUUGUGGUAAAGUACCUAUAAGUGACACUCAGAUGUAAUCCCCUUGUGAGGAAUGUCAAAGUAAGUGCGGUCUCUCAGACUCUAGAGACUUAAAUACCAUUCCAGGAGCUUUUGAUCAGACUUGUGACCUGCAAACAACAACUUCCUGUGUGAGAUUAUACCAUUUACCUCGCAAUCACAUCAUCACAAGGGCAAAUUACCAACUACACUUUUUCCUUUACUUACUUUUUGUCUCGCCAUACUUGGCUUGGAUAGUCGCCAUAUAAACAAGCCAACUAACCAUGUCAUGAUUAGAAAAGGCCAUGUGGUUUCAUUACCUGGAUGAAUAAAGGUCACCCCACUGUGCUGUGUAGAGAAACUAAAGCCUCCUCCAGCCAUCUGGAAUUUACUGUUCCCAUCAUAAACUGCUGUAAUUGGACCCUGGGUUGUGGUACCAGACCCAGGAAACAUAACAAAAGGGGCUCUGUUGCAUAUCUGCCCUGAAGCCCAGCUCUCCCCUGAGGUCUGCCUGACCAUCGAUCGCAAGCUACAUGACAAACAAGCAGAAUGAGCUGCCCAGCAAGCAGGACCACUUUAAACAGGAGUCAUUCUGUGCCUGUCAAUUACCCACACUUACUGUUACGAACUCAUUCGUUUUCAAGGUCCCCACCAACUGUGCAUGAGCAAUGUUCAAUAAUGCUUCUGUAACUGUUUACACUUAAAAGAAUGUUUUACACUGUUUACCUUAAAAAAUUAGUUUAAAGCAAAUCGUGUUUGCUAGAUUCUUUAUGGUUACAGUGAUGGAACUGGUC
ensembl:lncRNA